UACAGAGGUCUCAAGCGUUGUUCGGAUUCAUUGGGCGUAAAGGGUGCGUAGGUGGCGGGGCAAGUUUGGUGUGAAAUCCCGGGGCUCAACUCCGGAACUGCACUGAAUACUGCCUUGCUAGAGCACUGGAGAGGGAACUGGAAUUUACGGUGUAGCAGUGAAAUGCGUAGAUAUCGUAAGGAAGACCAGUGGCGAAGGCGGGUCUCUGGGCCGAUACUGACGCUGAGGAGCGAAAGCGUGGGGAGCGAACAGG
rnacentral:rRNA from 1 species